rnacentral:rRNA from 1 species
CACGCCGUAAACUAUGAGUGCUAGGUGUUGCGGGUAUUGACCCCUGCAGUGCCAAAGCUAACGCGUUAAGCACUCCGCCUGGGGAGUACGGUCGCAAGAUUAAAACUCAAAGGAAUUGACGGGGGCCCGCACAAGCGGUGGAGCAUGUGGUUUAAUUCGACGCUACGCGCAGAACCUUACCUGGGCUUGAACUGCAGUGGACCGGUGUAGAAAUACACUUUCCCUUCGGGGCUGCUGUAGAGGUGC